rnacentral:rRNA from 1 species
UACGUAGGGUGCAAGCGUUAAUCGGAAUUACUGGGCGUAAAGCGUGCGCAGGCGGUUUUGUAAGUCUGUCGUGAAAGCCCCGGGCUCAACCUGGGAAUUGCGAUGGAGACUGCAAGGCUUGAAUCUGGCAGAGGGGGGUAGAAUUCCACGUGUAGCAGUGAAAUGCGUAGAGAUGUGGAGGAACACCGAUGGCGAAGGCAGCCCCCUGGCUCAAGAUUGACGCUCAUGCACGAAAGCGUGGGGAGCAAACAGG